AUUGAACGCUGGCGGCAUGCCUUACACAUGCAAGCGAACGGUAACAGCACUUCGGUGGCUGACGAGUGGCGAACGGGUGAGUAAUACAUCGGAACGUGCCCGAGAGUGGGGGAUAACGCAGCGAAAGCUGUGCUAAUACCGCAUACGAUCUACGGAUGAAAGCAGGGGAUUCGCAAGGACCUUGCGCUCAUGGAGCGGCCGAUGGCAGAUUAGGUAGUUGGUGGGAUAAAAGCUUACCAAGCCGACGAUCUGUAGCUGGUCUGAGAGGACGACCAGCCACACUGGGACUGAGACACGGCCCAGACUCCACGGAGGCAGCAGUGGGGAAUUUUGGACAAU
rnacentral:rRNA from 1 species